UUCCGCGGCGAUCUUCCAGUAUCCCAUCAUGCCUGUUGACUCAGCAAUACCUGUGAACGGUUGUGGUAGAAUAGUGUUGUAACGUGGAACAUCAUGUCAGACAAGAAACAACCCGUCGAUUUAGGAUUGUUGGAGGAAGAUGACGAGUUCGAAGAGUUUCCAGCAGAAGACUGGACAGGAUUAGAUGAAGAUGAAGAUGCACACGUAUGGGAAGACAACUGGGAUGAUGACAAUGUAGAGGACGAUUUUUCUAACCAACUGAGAGGUGAACUCGAAAAGCAUGGAUACAAGAUGGAAACAUCAUAGUCUUGAAAGAAAACUUGGCAAUUUGAGUUUUAUGGACUGAACUUCAUUUAAAGAAAAAGCAUAUUGAAAACAUUAUGCAUUUAUUGUAGUUAUUUUUUGACUUGUUAAAUUAAAGGUUUGUAUUUUUGAGAUGUAUCUUUUGUUUCUGUAUCCUCAUAAUAUACAUGAAUACUAAGGUGAACAUUCAAAUAAAUGUAUAAGACAACUACUUAAUACUCCAAACUGGGAAAAAAAAACAUUUUAAGUGGGUGCUGUAAUUAUUGGAUAUUAGAAGAAAAGUGCUAAAAUUUUCUACCACUGUUCACAAGUUUCAAAUUGUGCACCUUUCCUGUUGCUAGGGAUGGGUUAUUGUCGAUUUACAUGAGCUUUGAGUAAUGUAAAUUCUUUUAUGGUAAUGAUCCUGUAUAUGGCAAUAAGAAAAAGGUUGGACUUUUGUAACUUUUGUUUGUCAUAAAAUGCUUGAUUCUACAAUGGAAUAGUUUACUUAGCAUUGUCAUGUAAGACGAGAAGCAGUCUGAAAAGUGUCCCAAGAGUUGACAGUUGUGCAGGAUAUUUUAGAAGGCACAGAGUGGUUGACAGCAAACUUGACAAUAAAACCAAGAAAGACAAAAUCUUCUCAGCAUUUCAGGUGAUCUGUGCUCCUUCUUACUUUACGUAUGUACAGGCUUUACCCAUCAUGCUGAUAGUAAAGAAACAAGUGGUCAGGACCAACAUCUGAAAGUCAGGUGUUAUGUGUAUGUUGGAAGUGUUGGUUUUGCUGUAUGAAAGGUGAAAUUCACUCUUGCUUUCUACUAAAUCUGCAGGUAAUUACCAAGAUUAAAGGUUCGCCGACUUUCGUUACACAGGUUGUUUUAUAUGCUUCAGUUGUAUUAAAGCAGUUUAAUUUUAA